AUAGCUUUUCCCGUUGCUUUCAUCAUCUGGUAUCUCCAAAAGCCGGCCGGCGAUAUCUUAUCGCCGGGGAGACAUCUCUGUAGCCACCGAUACGAAAAAUCCGACUGACUCGGCAGAUGCUUAUCGCCCCGCACAGCGGCAGGGGCCUCCCCGCAACUGCGCGGAGUGUGGCCAGCAGCGCCUUGUCAAGAUUCUCCAGAGAAAAUUCUCAACGGAACGCAGGAUCCUUGGAGGGAGCAGACAGCAGCAGGGAUUCUUGUUGCUAGCUUGGCAUAUAUUCUUGACCGCAGCUGUCAGAAUCCGACACCCUUGGGAGACCCCAACUUGGGUGAUAAUUUGAUUUGAGAGGGGCAACGUAUCAUAUCAUUCUUUCUUUCUCGGUGGAGUAGAUGGAUCUUAGAAUUCCAGACGCCUAGGGAGCACCGUAUACUUGUGAUUUUGUUCUCAAGUGAUUUUCAGAGAGGAUCUUGCAAGGUGCUCUUCAAAAGUUAGACGAAAAAUCAAUAAUAUCAAUUAAUCAGCAAUAGUUUACCUUCUUUUUCAGAGAGAUAAAGAACAGUACCAUCUCCUUUUAGAAUUAAUCUGUCAGGUGCUCUGGCAGGGUAGAGAGGAUCAGGCAUCUUCGUCAAGUAUUAAUCUAUCAUUUCAUCUUCUACUUUCUGACGAGUGCUUUCAUCUUCUACUUUUGUACACCAAAAAUCUGAUAGGAUUUUUUUGCUGUUGAUCUUGCCAAAUCCAUUUCCCAAGAUCGCGGUGCUGCCCUGUUCAAAUUCUUGUGACUCCCAGGUCUCAGCUGGGCUAUGUGAUGUGCUCGCAACAAGAUGGCGAUUGAAAAAGUCUUCCCCAACAAGCCGAUUGAUAUUCUUCUCAAAGGUUUUUCUUACUUGUAGAGUUAGAAAAUCUUGUUCAAGGAGAACGACAAGGAGAGGAUUGACCUACAUCUUGAUCAUCUCAUGGAGUGGUGCAUCAACUUCUAGCCAAGCUAUCUUACCCAGUUCGAUGUGAUCCAACUGUAGCUUGUUUAUUAUGUCCACUGUGUGUAUAUGUGCUUCUAGAGUCCUGCCCUGGUUGAUGUGUCUUUUGCUUGAUGUAUCUGGUGAGAUUAUGUCUGCAACUUGAUUAUCAGUGGUCCUAAGGUCUUUAGUCUGGUCUGAGUGCCUCUCGGUACAUUGCUGUUGCAUCCAGCGAUUUGGUGAA